rnacentral:rRNA from 1 species
AUUGAACGCUGGCGGCAUGCCUUACACAUGCAAGUCGAACGGCAGCACGGGGCAACCUGGUGGCGAGUGGCGAACGGGUGAGUAAUGCAUCGGAACGUACCUUUCAGUGGGGGAUAACGUAGCGAAAGUUACGCUAAUACGGCAUAUUCUGUGAGCAGGAAAGCAGGGGAUCGCAAGACCUUGCGCUGAUCGAGCGGCCGAUGUCAGAUUAGCUAGUUGGUGAGGUAAAGGCUCACCAAGGCGACGAUCUGUAGCGGGUCUGAGAGGAUGAUCCGCCACACUGGAACUGAGACACGGUCCAGACUCCUACGGGAGGCAGCAGUGGGGAAUUUUGGACAAUGGGGGCAACCCUGAUCCAGCCAUGCCGCGUGAGUGAAGAAGGCCUUCGGGUUGUAAAGCUCUUUCGGCCGGGAAGAAAUCGCACGGGCUAAUACCCUGUGUGGAUGACGGUACCGGAAUAAGAAGCACCGGCUAACUACGUGCCAGCAGCCGCGGUAAAAC